AGAUGGGGACACUGAGGCAAAGAAAGUACAGGCACAUGGUCCAGCUUGCACAGCUGAUGCUUUUGAUGAUCACGCGGAUUGCCAACAGCACUUUUUCUCUCGUCAGGAUGAAACUCCCACUGAACAAAGCACUCUCCAACAUAUCUGUUCUUUCUUGAAGCAGCUCAUUCAAAACACGCAUUAGAGCCAAGAAACCUCUUCCUACAGGACGUGUGGCUUCUCCACAGCUGACUCCUAUCUUCCCUCACGCCUCAACACCACCUUUAUCUGGGAAGCACCAGGUCCCUCAGUCCGUGCAGGACAUCUGGCUUUUUCUUCUAUGAUACGCCCAUCAUACUUCUCGACCUUGAGCACUCAUCAGCAUCCCCUGGAGGGCUUCUUAAACCACAGAACUGCAUCCCACCCUAGACCUUCUGACCCAGUCAGUAUGCCUGGGGUGGCAUCUGAGAAUCUGUGUUUCUAAUGCGUUCCCAGGUGGUGAUGAUGAUGCCGGUCCAGGGACCACGUAACAAGAACCACUGAUGUUCAAAAGCCAGCUUUUAAUGACUUUCUCACACUUCUGAGUGUUCUGGUGAAGCUUUCUAAAUGCCCUGGUUUCCCCAGCUAAAACCAGGAAUAAUCCCACCAACCUAAUCCAAGGGUUAAUGGUUAAUAUAGUGUCACACACAGAGAAGCUUGCAGCUGAUCUCGGGAAAAGUGUGUUCCUAAAAUCUGAAGACAUGUUCAAAUCAGUAUAUAUUACUGUGCCUCUGCCACAAAGGAGGCUCGAGAUGUGAAAUGUGAUGUUUCCCUCCCUUGCCGAGCUGUUCCAAGAGUUAGGAUGGUGUCUGCCAUGUUCGUGAGGAUACCCUGACACUCAUGUUCUGCUCAUGUCCUCAUGUUGCAAUGACAGCACUCAUGGGGACCUUACUGAACUGGCAUCACAAGUGUUCCCCAGCACAUGCCGGGUCCAAAGCUGACAUGCAUACACUUGUUUUUACAAAUAAUCAUGCAUACCCAGCAUCACUAAUUUACAUGUUAAGGCAUGGUGAUGUCACGUACUGACAUCUUGGAAGAGCGGCAGUAACAUCUUCAUCAUCUCUUGGAAUCCAUACUUGGUGCUGUUUCCUCCAAACACUUUAUAUAGACACCAUGUGGGUGCCCUGUCCACCACCUUCUCACUCCUGUGUCAUUCUUCUACAACGAGACCCACCCAGAAGGCCAGGUGCCACCUGUUCUGUGUAUCGCCUUCCUGAUUUUCCACCCUGUGGUUUUCUUAGAUGUUCUCGCUUAUCACAGACCUGGAGCCCCAAACACCCUGCUCCCCACAAGGGCUCCUGGCCGAGAAGGGCACCCUGUCCCCGAGCUGUGUGUCCUGGAGCAGGCUGCAGCCACCUGGAAGGGACACCUUUUACACACUGUGCAAUCAGAAAGCAGAAGCCCUUCCAACCAGCCCCUUCUUCCACUCUGGGGUCACUGGCCACUUCCACAUCCAAGCAGAUGCUCUCUUAGAUUCUCCCUUCCUCUAGUAUUUUGGCUACUGAAUCUGCGCCUCUGCCCCCUGCCUCCAUUUGUUUUCUGUGACCCUGGAAGAAUUCCACAUUUCUUCUGGAAAAAGGAUGGAUCGAUAGGAUUUCCUUCUAGAUUAGCAUGGAAGCUCUACUGCUCUGACUUGAGUGAUAAUGAAUGCCCAAGAAAAAAUGACUAAGGAAGCACUUCUAUUUGGUCUUAGUGUCCUGAGGGACAAAGGCAGUGUGGAUCUUGGCUUCAGGCACUGGCAUCCGCCAGUGGAUUUACCCACUACCUCUGACAGGAUUUUCAUUCAGAUAAGAAAUAUUCACAGAAUCCUCUCCUCUGUUUUUGCUUCAUGACAAUGUGCCUAAAUAUGACUCUGUGAAGCAUGCUGGAAUACCAGCUCCCAAGCAAGCACAUCCUUUCCUUCUCCUGGGCCACCAGUGAAGCUGUCCCUUCACCUAAGCCUGCAGGUCAACUGCAGUGGGUCCUGCCUGGACCUGGGAGGUAUGAGCAUCCCCAGGCAGCUCAUGAAGUGACACCAAACUCCUAUUUUGGCUCCACUUGGUGGGGCACAAAUCAUGCACACGCCACAUCCUCCCCAGAAUUCACCUGUCCUCACCACACCCCCUGUCAAACUUUGUCUGGUCCCCAGGCACAUCAUGCCUCUGCUGCUGCCACCUCUUCCUGACUGGCUUCUCCAGUCCUGGGCUCACUUCAUUCAAGAGCAUUCUGUAACCCUGUAGCUGCUGUAGGGCCGUGUAUUAAUCAUGCCUUUAUUUUCUAUGUUUUCUGAUGUUUCUGGGAGGAAAGACUGCCCCUCCCAGGGUCAGCCAAUUCUUAGGGAUAGCCAACAAUUCACCUGUGAGCACACCUUUCAGAUACAAACCAACCAAUCAGAGCCCACAACCCCCACCACCUCCUCUGUGGCUCUCACACUCCAGCCGCUGUCCACCUGCUCUGAUCGCCCCAGGGCCAGAUGCCAGACAACCAGGGGCAGCCCCUGAGCCCCACAGCCUGCAGAAAUUACUCCAAAUAGCUAACCUGGAGCCUGCCUACCCUUCCUCACCCCUUUAUUCUGGCUGAAACCACAGUGAAGGCUCUUGCCCAUGUUCCCCUCCCUCCUUCUGCCUCCUGACCAGCUGGUGCUUUCCUGUGGGGCCCCUGGGAUGUGGUGUGCCCCCUUCUCUAGGGAACAGAGAGUAACAACCUGUCUUCUUUGUGGAGGUCAUCUCCUGAUCUGCUAGCCUCACCCCACACCUGGCUAAUAAAAAACGUACACUUCCAAUCGGGCUGGCUUUCAAUCAUGGCUGAGCUCUCCAUCCCACUGCCCUCAGGAUCAAACCAUCCCUUUUUGAAGCUCCCCCCAGCUGGUCACCUUGUUUCUGGGCAUGUACUCUCUGAGCUCUCCCCUCAGGAUAGGACUCCAUGCUCCAGUCCCUGGUGGGGCCUCCACACCACAGAGAGCCCUGUCUCUCCACCCCAGGAAACAGCCCGAGCCGCUGCUCUUUGCCCUCAUAGGCCCAGCAGCACCCCUAACUGGGGCUACUCCCAAACACACCUGGAGUCAGGCCUCUCCAGGUGAGCAACCUGCCUGCCCCCGGUGCAGACUCCUGGCCCCGCGGCAGUGGCCAUCCUCCCCUCGGUCACCAAGAGACUUUCUCACAGCACCGACCAGAGCACACUCCUCCCUGGCUUAAACCUUGACGUGUUUUCAUGGCUUUUAGAACAAACCCAAUCAUGCUGAAGACAACCCCGUUGUGUGUCUGAGCUUGUCCUUUGUUCUCAGCCCCAAUGGUCUUCUUCCUCUUCCAGUGGAAGCCAGAUUUUGCCCUGCUGUUCCCAUUUGCCUGUUUUCUCACCCAGAACCUCGUGGGACUUCCUCUCUUUGAUCCUUUCCUUAGGUGUCAGCCUGAAUGUCACUCCCUCAGAGACGCCAU